ACUAAGUGUUCCCAUGAAAGAACCUGUAGUUAUAGGUUUGUACCGUGGAACAUCAAAACCCAGCUCAGCAAAAGAGUUUCUGGAAGAAUUUGUUACAGAGUUAAAAGGGCUUGAACAAGGUUGUGAUUUAGAGGGUAAGAAUUUGAAGCUCAAGCUUGACACCAUCAUUUGUGACACACCAGCCAGGUCCUUUGAUAAAAACACAAAGAACCACAAUGCCUACCACUGUUGUGACAAAUGUGCACAACCAGGAAAAUACAUUAACAGACGCAUGACAUAUCCAUGCACAGACUUUGUUUUAAGAACAGACAUUCAUUUGAAACCAAGGCCGAUGAUGAUCAUCAUCAUAGCGGUCCACAUCCAUUUCAUGGCAGUAGUGUUGGCAUGGUGUCCCAGUUUCCUCUGGAUUACAUGCAUGUAGUUUGCUUGUGUAACCCACAUCAGAAUUGUGGUUUGUGCUGCGGCAUAUGGUUGAAGGUGUAAUUUCCCUCUCCGCCACUAGGAGGCGAGUAUGCCUUGAGAUGACUUCCUGUUAGUCAACAUUUCCUGUUGUGAAAGCCUACUCACGAGGCAACCGCCAGAUUAACUGAAAGAUCCUGGAUCUGAAUUCUGUGAAAUACGGCCGUGGGAAGCUGCGUCAGCCGGGCGAGCUAUCUCACCACGAGCUCCGGGCAUGUUGUGAUGUGUGGGGGAAACCGGAGUACCUGGAGGAAACCCACGCAUGCAUGGGGAGAACACGCAACUCCACGCAGAAAGGUGAGUUUUGAACCUGCGACCUUCGUGCUGCGAGGCAACAGUGCUAACCACUGCGCCACCAUGCAGCC